rnacentral:lncRNA from 1 species
UUAUCAUUUCUCUGUCUAUUUGAUGAUCAGAUGCUCGAUCAUUGCUUGUUAUCUGAAAUAAACUAGAUAGCUAGCUAGCUUAUUCAGGGUUCCUACCUUAGCUGCAAAAUGGAUGCAAUUUUAUCCUCUGUAACCUUGAUAGAAUAAACUUUGUGUAGACCAAGUUCACCGUAAAUCAGAUGGUAGUAACCUUUAAUUGGAAGUUAGGUCACACAACUCCAAUACAGUUAAGAUAAUUCUUUCAAGUUAGAAAUAUAGGGGGAUUUAAUUUGUCAUCUAUCUUUUUUUCCCCCCCAUUUUGGUUAAAAAGGUAUUGGAAAAAAUAAUAAUAUGAACUAAAAGCACAAGUAAUAAUAAUAUAUUCAUAUUGAAAUUAAGGAAAAAAACUGUUCGUUUUUUUUUCCUAGAGUUGACGUUUUAGCAAAUUGGCUGAUUUCCAAGUCUUGUACGUCCAGUAAUUCGAAUUGACUUGCUGAUUGGCAUAUGUAUGUAUACAGGGGCAUCUGGAGGAAGAAAAAUUGGACAGUUUCAAUGUUCCAGUCUAUGCAGCUUCAGCAGAAGAAGUAAAGCGCAUAGUUGAGGAGGAAGGUUCUUUUGAAAUUUUAUACCUGGAGACUUUUAAGGCCCCUUAUGAUGCUGGCUUCUCUAUUGAUGAUGAUUACCAAGGAAGAUCCCAUUCCCCAGUAUCCUGCGAUGAACAUGCUAGAGCAGCGCAUGUGGCAUCUGUCGUUAGAUCAGUUUACGAACCCAUCCUCGCAGGUCAUUUUGGAGAAGCUAUUUUACCUGACUUAUCCCACAGGAUUGAGAAGAAUGCAGCAAAGGUUCUCCGCUCGGGCAAAGGCUUCUAUGAUAGUCUUAUCAUUUCUCUCGCCAAAAAGCCAGAGAAGUCAGACAUGUAAAAGUUUGCUUUAAGUUGGUUGUCGUGUUGUGGUUUGUUUUUAGAUAUGGGGAAAGGAUUUAACGCGGUUCGGGGUCUAUGGGGUAUUGUAUUUUUUAUAUUAUUUGGUGUAUAAUUAUAUUAUAUUAUUAUCUUAUAUUUGUAGUAAAAGUGGCGUAUAAGAAUAAAAUUUUUGACAUAUAUUUAGUACAAUAUUUGUAUAUAUAUAUUUGUACACAAAAUAUUUGAACACGCACAACAACCGGGUAGAACCGCACAAAAGACAACUGCACUAAAUAGUUGUCCGAUGGGAAGUCUGGGAAUGAUGAUUUUUUGUAUAAAUUACCUUUUACCCAUUGUAGCUUGGUGAUUUAUCACAUAACUUUGUGUAUAUUAAAAAACUAUAUAUAAUCCCUCAUGAUUUAGGUUCAUCUUAUCCCCAUAUAUUUAUGUUCAUCUUAAAUUGAUAAUUUUAUUGAAUAAUUUCAAUGAUUAUAAAUCUUUAUUUCAAUUGAAACUUAAUUGACAACUAGUUGAAAUGUCAAAAAAAAAUAUUAUUCAAUCAACUCAAUGACAUAUAGUUGUUUAUAUUAUAAUAGAAUAUUUAAUUAACUGUUUUAAUUUAUCAAAUAUAAAUAUUGGACAAUAGAUGAUGAAUAAAUUUUUAAGAGGACUUUUAUUAUGAUUUUAAAAUGUAUUACAUUUUUUCAUCCGGUUUUCUCAGUGGUGUCGGGACAUCCUUCGUUGUGCAUCCCCACAGAGCACAGUUGGCCUCCUUGCAUUGCUUCUGCCUACUAUUGGCAGAAAAGUGAACUUUCCACCGUAGACGUAACCAUCUCACCCCCAUACCUCAACUUCUGAUUUAUUGUCCAACAACAUCAAAUCAAACAUAUUAUAAUCUUUCAUAUUAUAAAUAGAGAUACCGAAUCGUAUCUCUCAUUCAACUCGCAACAUCAAUCAAGAAUUUCCUACUCAUUGGUGCAAAUCUAGUAAAAUUUUCAACUUUAAGCAUCAAUCUAUCAAUGGCUGCUAAUUCCAACUUUUGCUUCGUUCUAUCGUUGAUGAUGGCAUUAAUCUUUUUGAAGCAUUCAUGUAAGCGAGGCGGCUCGGCACCUUUUGCAAACUUCCCAACCAGCAAUUCCUUCCGUACCUCUUCAAUACCAUCAUUGCCCUUCCAUUCCAAAUUUGCCUACAGGGGCAUUGCCAAACUUGCCAAGCAACCAGCAGCCACCUCUGCCCACCAUGCCUGCAGUUCCUAAGGUGACCGUGCCACCAUUGCCUUCUGCUUCAUUGCCAACCUUUCCAAAUAUUCCCAGUAUCCCUAUCUCCAUUCCUUCAAUCCCUUUCUUCUCACCACCUCCAUCAAACUAGUAGUUUGACUUGAGAUUUCGAUAUUCCAGGAUGUGGCAUCCUUUUCUUCCUCAAAUUCAUCAUUGUGUUGUGAUACUAGAAUUAUGUUUCUUUCGUAAUGUUCGUGUUUCAAAUUUAUCACUUAAAAAUUCUCUGGAUUGUAAUUUCUGCAUUUAGUAUUCACUGAAAUGUACUUGUAUAUUUACAGUAUUGUUGUUGUAUUGGAGAUUGCUACUAUUUUAGCAAGUUAUGGUCUUAAAUCUGGACUUGUAAGCCCAUACAAACACAUGCAACGUUUGCAAUUUCAAUCCUGAGCGUUAAGAAAUGGCCGGGCAAAUACUUAGAAUGUAGAGAGCUUCAUUAGAUCCUCCAACUUCCUUUUUAUUGAUUUGUACCCUACUACGAUUUUGGAGAAAAAGAACUGUACAAAUUUUUGUUUCAAAUCACGUAAAGGAAUAUGAAAGAGGGAAAAGAAGAAAAUUACUCCCUAAUUAUGUUUUGGAGAAAUAGGAAACUAUGGCCAUAGAUUCAGAUUAAAAAUGGAAGACAUGGAUAGAAACACUAUUUCAAACAGACAAAAAAUUGUAGUUUAAAUUGGCUUGAGCAAUUUAGAAUUCAAUGUAGGAAACAAAUGGGGUAUAUGAUGGAAUGAAAUGUAGUAUAUGUACACAUUUUGUUUGAUUCCAAUUUGACUUUGAUCGAAGCAGAAUCAUCAAAUCAAGGAGUAAUUUUAAAAAAUUAAUUUCAGAUCUUCAUUCUUUUUUGUUCUAUUUCCCUUUUGUUCCUUUAGAAUUUUCUUCCAAUAUAUUUUGAGAUAACAGGGCAACAAUAAUCCUCCAUUCUAUAAAAUGCUAUUUUGCAGUAAUUAAUCAAUUCCUUAGGGCAAAGCUCUGGAUUAGUACAUACAGGAUUUAAAAAGAAUUCCUCUUAAAUUGGGAAAUUAAGCUCGAAUUCCUUUUAAAUUGGGAAAUUAAGCUCUUAUAGCUUAAGCUUUGUUCCAUAUUUACAAGAUCAAUGAUAGGGUGUUAAUUGUUGGUUAUUUUAUUAUUAAUUUCCCCUUUGUCCUUGUCAAAUAUUAUUUUAAUUAGCAAUAUUUACUUAUAUUUGGUAUUGGACUCAAUUUCAGGGAAUGGAACAGCAAAACACAAAAUAGAAGGGACUUUCUGAAGUAAAUUACUUCACACGUGGGAGUCCUUUACAAAGCUCCAUCAGCGUGGGCCACAAGAGGGGACCAAAGCUGAUUUCCUUUCCUUUCUGGGCUGAUGAAGAGGUGGCUGGUACGGGAAGUUCUAAUAGCAAAAGGAAACAAGAGACAAUUCGGCUAGGGCCCAUCUUUUGUACUUCAUUGGCUCAAGUCAGUAGGGGACCACUGGAGAGAGGAUGAGUCACUUCUUUUGGCUUUAAAAAAAAGAGAAAAAAAAACGUACAGAAGAAGGGGGACGGGUCUAGUUUUUUAGCUUUUAGCAUAGUUUUUAGUUUUCUUUCUUCUAGCUGACCUUUAACGCAUUCCAGGGAAGAAUAUCUUUUAUUUCUUGCUUUCUAGUAAAAAACGCAAUGCCUUUGCAAUCAAUUAAUUUGCGUAGAGAUUUACUUAUGCGGCGUGGCUAAGCCUUUCAUCUAGUCGAAUGCCAACUUGAAGGCGCGGUUCCAAAUAUAUGUGAGAUCGAAUUAAUUUUAUUUAUUUCUUUUAUUCAUUGGUAUUUGUACGUUUCCUGAUUUAAUUGCUUAUGCUUGUUAUGUUAUUUGAAUGUCAAUGACCCGAUAUUCGAAUUAACCUAAUGAUCUAAUGCCAAAUUAAUUGAUUGAAUCCGUAAUUGUUUAAUCGAUUAAUACCAGUGGCGACUAGCGUGAUUGGUUUCAUGUUAGGGAAACGUAUGAUCUAACUUAAACAAACCUUCGUAAUGUGUUUGUUGGUUAGGAUUGGAUUUUUCUAAUUAUUAAUGCAAUCGAGUAAUUAAAUCCUAUGGUCGUAACUAGGGUUAUUUCUUGGUUAGAGAAAUAGUUAACGGCCGUACCUUAACUAUCAAGAAAUUAAGAAAAGGCUGGUUGUUCAUCGCUUGUAUGACAACUAUAACCAAUCUAGUAAUGAGUAAUUGAAUUAUCUUUGCAUCGAUGAUCAGUUGAAUGAACUGUGUCUGAAACGUUGCACCUUUGGCUAGAGUCGUAUUGGUUCUUGAUUAAUUCUUGUUUAUUUCUAUUAAUUGUCUCAUUAGUUAGUUAAUUAGUAAUCUUAUAUUUUCCAAAAAUCCCCCAUGCACUGAACUCUAGAAGAGACGAAUUAUUCCCAGUCCCUGUGGAUUCGACCCUACUCACCGCUAUAUAUAAAAUUUGUAUUUUUCUUGAGUAGGUAAUUAUUAUUGCACAGGUUCGGCACUUGUCAAUCAAAAACAAUUUUGACUAUCUUUUAGGAUAUCUCUCACUCACAUUUCUAGGUUAGUUAUAUUACUAUUUUUCCUACAUAAACAUCAUGUUUUAGUUCUUUUUUGUUUCCUUAACAUUCAAUAACUAUUAGUUGAAUAAAAAAUUAAUACAACAUGUUCAAAAAAGCAUUAUACAAUAGAAAAUUAAAAAAUACAAUAGAAAAUUCAUAAAAAAAUCUCAUUUUUUAUGCAUUUUGAUUUUUUGAGUUUAUUAAAUUUUGCGUAUUACUUAGUUAAUAGUUAUUGGAUGUUAAGAAAACAAAAAAGAACUAAAACAUAAUGUUUAUGUAGGAUAAAUAGCAAUAAAAUAAAAAUGGGACAGAGAGUGACACAAGACGUGGAACAGAAGAUCUGUUGUGCUUAGGAAUGGCAAUAGGGCAGGGGUGGGGCGGUGGACACCUCCCCCAACCUCGCCCCGUUGCAUUUUAAUUCCCCCAGUCCCCCGCCCUGCCCCGCUUCCCCCGCGGGGGCACCCGUGGGGUUAAAAUACUUUUAUUAUAUAACUUAAUUAUAAUUAAAUUUGAGCAAAUAAUCAAGUACUAAAAUAUCAACGCAUCACCAAAUUAUUAUUCAUUGUAACUUUACAAUUGAAACUCAUAAAAAUAAUUAAACAAAGAUUAUUUGAAUACAAUCUAAUAUAAUAAAACAAAUAUAACUAAAAUAAUCAAGUUUUCACUUUUGAUAUAACUACAAUUACUAAAUUAUUAUUUUGUUUUUUUAGAAAAAGUGUUAUUGUGUUUUUAGAAAAAGUGUUUUAUAACUACAAUUACUAAAUUAUUAUUGUGUUUUUUUAGAAAGAGUGUUAUUGUAUUAAGUGUAGUUAGGAAUUUAAUAUAAAUAUAUUAAUAAAUUUAGUAUAAAUAAUUAAUAAUUUUUAUUAAUAGACAUGUAUAAUUAGUAGUAUAAUUGAUAUUGGGUCCUUUUGGAUUAGCUGUUUUUGAGACUGUUUUUCAAAAACAAUACUGUAGCAUUUCGUUUUUGAAAUACAAGUCCUUUUGGAUUAGUUAUUUUUGGAGUUAUUUUCAAAAACAAUAUGAAAAACUUUUACUGUAGAUUUUUUUGGAUUAUUUUUAGAGGUAUUUUUAAAACAUAUUUUUUGAGUAUUUUUAUAAUUUAAAAAUUUUUAUAUUUAUAUACAUUUAUAAAUAUUUAUAAAUAAAUAUAUUUAUAUAAAAAUGUAUAAAAAUAUUAUAAAUGUAUUAUAUUAUAUAUAAUAUAUAAUACAUAAUAUAAAUAUAUUUAUAUAUCUAUAAAUGUAUAUUAUUAUAAAUGAAUAUUAUAUAAAUGUAUAAAUUAUAAUUUAUAAUUUAUAAUUUUUAUAUAAAUAUACAUUUAUGCAUUUAUAAUACAUUUAUUAAUAUUUAUAAAAAAAUAUAUUUAUAUAUAUUAUAAAAAAAUAUAUAAAUGUAUUAUAUUAUAUAUAAUACAUAAUAUAAAUAUAUUUAUAAAUGUAUAAGUGUAUAUUAUUAUAAAUGUAUAAAUUAUAAAUGAAUACUAUAUAAAUGUAUAAAUUAAUAUAUUAUAAAUAUAUAUUAAUAUUAUGUAUAAAUGUAUUAAUAUAAUUAAUAUAAAUGUAUUAAUGUAUUAAUAUUAAGUAUAAAUGUAAAAUUAAUAUUAUGUAUAUUAAUAUAAAUGUAUAAAUGUAUAAAUGUAUUAUAUUAUAUAUAAUACAUAAUAUAAAUGUAUACUAUAAAUAUACAUAAAUAUAUAUACAAUGUAUAAAUGUACAUUUAUAUAAAUUUAUAAUAUAUAUAAUAUAUAUAAUAAAUUACAUAAUAUAUAAUUUAUAUAAUAUAUAAUAUUUAUAUUAAUCUAUCAAAAUAUAUUUUAAUUAAAAUAAAAUAUUUAUAAUACAAAUAAAUAAAUAUUUAAUAUAUAUAAUAUAAUUAAUAUUAAUUAAAAAUAUUAUAAUAUUAUAAAUAUGGUGUUUGUAUAAUAUUUAAAUUUGUAAUAUUUAUUGUAUAUUUCAUUAUAUAAAUAUUUAUUAAAUAUAUAAUAUAUAAAUAUAUAAUAUCAAAUUUUCAAUUUGUAUAAUAUACAUAAUAUUGUGUAUAUAUAUAAUAUAAUAUACAUAAUAUAAUAUAAUAUACAUAAUAUACAUUUAUACAUUAUUACAUAUUAUGUAUAUUAUAUAUUAUACAUAACAUUAUUAUACAUUAUUAUACACAAUAAUGUACAUAAUAAUGAAAGUACAUUAAUAAUGUAUAUAUUAUAAUGCAAUGUACAUAAUAUAUUAUGUAUUCAAUAUUUAUACAUUUAUGUAUACAAUAUUACAUAUUAUGUAUAUUAUAUUAUAUUGUGUAUAAUAUACAAUAUUAUGUAUAAUAUUAAUGUAUAUAAAUAUUUAUAUAAUAUAUAAAUAUAUAAUUUUUAAUUUGUAUAUUUCAAUUUAUAUUAAUAUAAUAUACAUAAUUGAAAUAUACAAAUUGAAAUAUACAUAUUAAAUAUAUAUAUUUGGAGUUGUUUUUGAUAUAAUGUUUGGAUAUGGUAUUUUUAGAAUUGUUUUUGAAAUACACAUUUACUGUAGUAUUUGGAAUGUGAAAAACAGUUUUUCAAAAAUAGAGACAAAAACAAAGAAUCCAAAUAGACUCAUAUCAUUAUAUAUAUAUAUAAUUAUGUACAUAUAUAUAUAUAUAUAUUUCAAACAGGUGGCGGGGCGGGGGGUGGGGCGGGAGAGUAUACCCCCGCCCCGUUUCUAAACGGGGGUAAAAAAUUCCCUCCGCCCCCGCCCCAAUGACCCCCCUCGGGACACAUGCUCGCGAGUGUACCAACCCGUUGCCAUCCCUAGUUGUGCUUCUCCCUGUACCAACCCGUUGCCAUCCCUUGUUGUGCUCAUCCCCAUAUCUCAACUUUACCAGUCUUAUCCCCAUAUAUCAACUUUACCAGUCUUAUUCCCAUAUCUCAACUUUCCUAGUUGUGCUUAUCCCCAUACCUCAACUUUACCAGUCUUAUCCUCGUAUCUCAACUUCUGAUUUUUAUCAUUCGUGUCAAGUUCCCAUUGACUCUGCGCUUUCUUUCAGACCAAUUGAUAGACUUUUCUACGCACGUGGGUAGCUAGCUAGCAUACGCAUCUAUGAAAUUUUCGCUAUUUAAGCCCGAAAUUUCGCACAAUUAAUCAUUAACAGAUACCUUCUUUAGCAGUCCCAAUUCGAUUUAUGUACGAGUCCUGCGUAUGAAUGGAGCUCCAAGAAGUCCUGCAUAUGAAUGGAGGCGAAGGCGAUACAAGCUACGCCAAGAACUCAUUCUACAAUGUCUGUCUGUCUCUCUAUCUCUCUCUUUAACACACACACACACACACACAGAGUAGUAGUAAAUCAUGCUAUGAUACGUCGAUCUCUAACUUAGUAUGUCUUUUUUCCCCCUUUAACAUUUGUAUUUUGGAGUGGUAUGUGUUGCAGCUGUUUCUCAUCAGGGUGAAACCUAUCCUUGAACAAUGCAUACAAGAAUUGUUGCGGGCCAACUUGCCCAACAUCAACAAGUGCAUUAAAGUUGCGGAUUUGGGAUGCGCUUCUGGACCAAACACACUUUUAACAGUUCGGGACAUUGUACAAAGUAUUGACAAAGUUGGCCAGGAAAAGAAGAAUGAAUUAGAACGUCCCACCAUUCAGAUUUUUCUGAAUGAUCUUUUCCAAAAUGAUUUCAAUUCGGUUUUCAAGUCGCUGCCAAGCUUCUACCGCAAACUUGAGAAAGAAAAUGGACGCAAAAUAGGAUCAUGCCUGAUAGGCGCAAUGCCUGGCUCUUUCUACGGCAGACUCUUCCCCGAGGAGUCCAUGCAUUUUUUACACUCUUGUUACUGUUUGCAUUGGUUAUCUCAGGUCUUUGAGUUAAUCCCUUCUAUCUUUUUUACUUUUUCUUGUAGCAAAAAUAAGUUCACGAUUUUUAUUCAACACAUUAGUAACUAUGCAUGGAAAUUUCUUUAAUAAUUCUCAAGAUAUCCACAGGAAUCCAAGAAAGAGAUUUCUGAAGAAACUAAUAACAUAUUUUAUUUAAUUCGUGGCUCAUGAUUUAUAUUCCCACAUGCAACACUAACAAAAUGAUCCAACUAUAUAAGUUACCAGCUCUAGACGUGCAGGUUCCCAGCGGUUUGGUGACUGAAUUGGGGAUCAGUGCGAACAAAGGGUGCAUUUACUCUUCCAAAGCAAGUCGUCCGCCCGUCCAGAAGGCAUAUUUGGAUCAAUUUACGAAAGAUUUUACCACAUUUCUUAGGAUUCAUUCGGAAGAGUUGAUUUCACGUGGCCGAAUGCUCCUUACUUUCAUUUGCAAAGAAGAUGAAUUCGGCAACCCGAAUUCCAUGGACUUACUUGAGAUGUCAAUAAACGACUUGGUUAUUGAGGUUAUCAUUUCUCUGUCUAUUUGAUGAUCAGAUGCUCGAUCAUUGCUUGUUAUCUGAAAUAAACUAGAUAGCUAGCUAGCUUAUUCAGGGUUCCUACCUUAGCUGCAAAAUGGAUGCAAUUUUAUCCUCUGUAACCUUGAUAGAAUAAACUUUGUGUAGACCAAGUUCACCGUAAAUCAGAUGGUAGUAACCUUUAAUUGGAAGUUAGGUCACACAACUCCAAUACAGUUAAGAUAAUUCUUUCAAGUUAGAAAUAUAGGGGGAUUUAAUUUGUCAUCUAUCUUUUUUUCCCCCCCAUUUUGGUUAAAAAGGUAUUGGAAAAAAUAAUAAUAUGAACUAAAAGCACAAGUAAUAAUAAUAUAUUCAUAUUGAAAGUAAGGAAAAAAACUGUUCGUUUUUUUUUUCCCUAGAGUUGACGUUUUAGCAAAUUGGCUGAUUUCCAAGUCUUGUACGUGCAGUAAUUCGAAUUGACUUGCUGAUUGGCAUAUGUAUACAGGGACAUCUGGAGGAAGAAAAAUUGGACAGUUUCAAUGUUCCAAUCUAUGCACCUUCAACAGAAGAAGUAAAGUGCAUAGUUGAGGAGGAAGGUUCUUUUGAAAUUUUAUACCUGGAGACUUUUAAGGUCCCUUAUGAUGCUGGCUUCUCUAUUGAUGAUGAUUACCAAGGAAGAUCCCAUUCCCCAGUAUCCUGCGAUGAACAUGCUAG